GUGACUCAAGCUAUUUCAGUAAGUAAGGAUGAUGAAGUGGCAUAUGUGGGCUCUACAGUAAUAAAACAGAAAGACUUUACAACUCUGACAGAACUUUCUGAGGUUGAAGGAAGUAUGCUGAAUUCCUGCUUUUGUGUUCUGCAACGGAUUGCCCUCUCACAGAAUGUGGACAUCUAUCCAGUUAACAGCCAUGUCAUUGUGACCUGGUUACCUCCUAUUUGUGCAAAUCCACUGGACAGCUUACCUCCUGAAAUUAGCAGCAAGGAUACUGUGGUCUUUCCAUCUUAUGUGCCAGGACACUGGAUGCUGUGUAGAAAUUGCUCUCAGCCUCUGUCCUGGGCCAUGGACUGAGUUCUUCUCUGAGGACCUUGAGGAUGUUCUUCGACAAGACUUGUCUUGUAGCUGUGGAGUCUUCACACUAAUGUAUGCUCUCUAUAUUACCCUGGGUUGAGCGUUUGACUUCUCAGAGUCAGACAUGCCAAGUAUUAGAAGAUGGCGGUCUGCCCUUUUGCUGGAGCUGUUCCCACCAAGAUCAUUCACGAAAAGCCAGCAAAGAAAAAAGAGGCGAAUCGGGGCUGACAAGAGACAAGACACUGUUGCAACCAGUGACACACCCCUGAACAUACAGCAGGCAUGUAUUUGCCAUUUAAUUCAAUCUUUAAACUGCAGUUGGAUUAUUAUGACCACAACUUUUGUUCCUCCACAGCUUCCUCUGCUAGUUCUUCGAGCAAUCUUGCUGGAAGUUGUGGUUCAUGAUGGUGAUGUUGCAAUCCGCACCCUUG